rnacentral:lncRNA from 1 species
GCAUAUGGUGGUUCCCAGGCUAGGGGUCAUAUCAGAGCUACAGCUGCCGGCCACAGCCACAGCAAAACGGGAUCUGAGCUGCAUCUGUGACCUACACCACAGCUCACGGCACUGCCAGAUCCCCAACCCACUGAACAAGUCCAGGGAUUGAACCUGUGUCCCCAUGGAUCCUGGUCAGAUUCACCAACCACUGAGCCACCAUGGAACUCCCACUGCCCCUUUUAUUUUCAGGGGAGGAAACUGAGACCCAGAGAGAGCAAAUGAAAUGUUCAGGUUCACAAAGGAAAUGGUGACUCACCUCAAUUUUAUGUCUGUUUUGGCCUUUUUAGGGCUGCACCCGUGGCACGUGGAGGUUCCCAGGCUAGGGGUCGAAUCAGAGCUGUCGUUGAUGGCCUACACCACAGCCACAGCAACACCAGAUCCAAGCUGCAUCUGUGACCUAUACCACAGCUCACGACAGUGCUGGAUCCUUAAUCCACUGAGCAAGGCCAGGGAUUGAACCUGCAUCCUCAUAAAUGCUAGUCAGUUUCGUUUCCACUGAGCCACGAGAGGAACUCCCAUCAGACACUUUUGAACCAUCUUAAUUAUUUUUUCUAUAGCUUAUACUACCUCUACUAUUAUUUAUUUCAUACUUUUUUCUUUAAAUAAAUUUAAUUUAUAUAAUAUCUUCAUUCUAUGCAAUAUUUUCCAUGAGAUUAUGAGUUCAAUAAUGCUUAGAUUUAUUUCCAAGAUGCAUUAAAAUAAACAUAUGACUGUUAAAAUAAAAGCUUAUUUAUGUUUUAUCUAUAAUCAGUUUUGGAAAACAUUGAUACAGUGAAAGAGCAUGGACUUUAUAUCCAGACAGACCUGGGGUCAACUGCUUGUUUGCUCUAUCAUUUAACUACGUAGUCUUGGAGAAGUCACUGGGCUUUUAUGACCUUUGGUUCUCCACUAAUACCCACUCUGUGACUCAGUGCCUCAGUGGUAACGAAUCCAACUAGUAUCCAUGAGAAUGUGGGUUUGAUCCCUGGCCUUGCUCAGUGGUUAAGGAUCCGAUAUUGCCAUGAGCUGCAGUAUAGGUCACGGAUGCACCUCAGAUCUACCAUUGCUGUGGCUGUGAUGUAGCCCAGCAGCUGCAGUUCUGAUUUGCUCCCUAGCCUGGGAACUUCAAUAUGCUGCAGAUGCAGCCCAAAAAAAGCAGUGGAUAUUAGUAUCCACCUUGCAAUGUUGUUAUGACUGAAGGAGCUACUGUGGGCCCAGUCUCAAGCAGGCGUUCAGUUCAUGAUUGUUAUUAUCCUGGUUAUUUUUGCACACUUGUAGUUAUUUCCCUAAGUGUGUUUCUGUGUUGGAAUAUCAGGCUUAUUGCUCUCUGCUCACUUGUAUGUGUAAAGAAGUUACUUCCACUUAUUUAGUUUUGUGGUAAAUCUAUUAUUAUUUUGACUUCUCAGUUCUGUUACUUAUUAUCGUUGUGAUUUUGGCCAAGUUACUUAAUGUUUCUGUGUCUCAUUUAUAUAGUUUGUAAAACAGGGAUUUAAAAAAAAGUACUUUGGUGUGUGUACGCAUCAUCAGUUUCCUAGCUCUGUCCACCAGCGGGCCCAGACGCACUAGCCCUAGUAGCAACAGGCAAUACCUAGUGCCCAAGGUUUGUGAAUAUCAUUCUCCCAUGAAAGGAGCAGCUGACUCCAGGACUGGGGAACUGAAGUGCAAAUGAGUUCGGUGUGUUCUUUCGCAGUGCCAUUAGUUAAGGAUCAGGUGUUGGUGCUGUAGCGGCUUGGGUUGCUGUAGCAUGGGUUGCAUUCCUGGCCCUGGAACUUCCACAUGCUGUAGGCAUGGCCAAAAAAAUAUGGUUUGCAAAUAUUGAAAAAAAAAAAAAGACGAGCCUGGAAUAUCCUGUGUGAGAAGGUCAGGAACUGCUAAAGAAAGGACAUGUCAAAAACACACCAAAACACCUUGAGCUCAGUGGCUUGUGAGCAACAGUGGGACAAUAAGGGUAACAUUGUAAAUAAGGACAGUAAUGGAUUAUAAUACACAACCAUCCCUGAGUCUUACAAAAAUAAAUAAUCGAAUACCUAAAUAAAUAUGAGAGAAGGAACAGCUCUUUUUCUUAUAGUAGAAUCUUAAUAAAUAUGAAAGGAAUGAUGAAAGCAAAAAAAAAAAAUCAUAGUUUUGCUAAGACUAUAGUAAUACCUGUUAUAGGCAAGAAUUAUCAAUCGAUUUUACAAAUUAAUAGAGACAGAUCAAGAUGGUAGAGGAGGAUUUCCUGUCUUGGCGCAGCAGAAACAAAUCUGACUAGGAACCAUGAGGUUGCAGGUUUGAUACUUGGUCUUGCUCAGUGGGUUAAGGAUCUGGUGUUGCCAUGAGCUGUGGUGUAGGUUGCAGAUGCGGCUCGGAUCUGGCGUUGCUUUGGCUGUGGGGUAAGCCCGCAGCUGUAGCUCCAAUUAGACUCCUAGCCUGGGAAUCUCUAUAUGCCAUGGGUGCAGCCCUAAAAAAAAAAAAAAAAAAAAAAAAAAAGAGAGAGAGAGAGAGAGAGAUGGUGGAGGAGUAGGAUGUGGCCCACCUUCUCCCAGAAAUACAUUUAAAAAAAAUCUAGGAGUUCCCAUUUCAGCUCAGAAGGUUAAGAACCUGACUAGUAUCCAUGAGGAUGCGGGUUCAAUCCCUGGCCUUGCUCAGGGGGUUAAGGAUCUGGCUUUGCCACAAGCUGGAGUGUAGAUUGCAGAUGUGGCUCAGAUCUGGCAUUGUUGUGGCUGUGGCAUGUGCUAGCAGCUGUAGCUCCAAUUGGACUCCUAGCCUGGGAACUCCCAUGUACUACAGGUGUGGCC